AAGCUCACACCUCUCUAGAGCUGUCUUUUUUGGUCCUAAGUGACUGCCUGUCCAGGGAGGUGGCUAUGUGUCAAGCCAGGACACAGAGGCUGUGAAACACUAGCUGCUCCAAAAUAUCCAUGUAGGCGGCAUACACAGAUCACCAAGACCAAAGGCAAGCUACAUGUUCCAGCAGAAGAGUGGACGGUGCAUUCCCAUCUUAUUCAGAGUGUAAUGACUAUGGCACUUCUGGGCUUACUUACAAUGGAGACAGGACUACUUUGGAG
rnacentral:lncRNA from 1 species